rnacentral:rRNA from 1 species
UACCAGCACCCCGAGUGGUCGGGACGUUUAUUGGGCCUAAAGCAUCCGUAGCCGGUUCUACAAGUCUUCCGUUAAAUCCACCUGCUCGAACAGUUGGGCUGCGGAGGAUACUAUAGAGCAGGAGGCGGGGAGAGGCAAGCGGGUACUCGGAUGGGUAGGGGUAAAAUCCGUUGAUCCAUUGAAGACCACCAGUGGCGAAGG